rnacentral:rRNA from 1 species
GGAGGUAGUGACAAUAAAUCUCAAUACGAAGCCUUUGGUUUUGUAAUUGAAUUGAGAACAAUGUACAAUCGUUAUCGAUAAACAAUUGGAGGGCAAGUCUGGUGCCAGCAGCCGCGGUAAUUCCAGCUCCAAUAGCGUAUAUUAACGUUGUUGCAGUUAAAAAGCUCGUAGUUGAAGUUUAGAUAAUUUAUUGAAAGUGUUUGUAUUCGUACAUUCUACUUUUAUGUAAGUUAUCGACAUCCAGGUGGGUGCCAUGGUUCCGCAAGGAACUGUGGUACUAGACUGGUCAUUUACUGUGAGAAAAUUAGAGUGUUUAAAGCAGACUUUUAUCAAAAUAGUUUGAAUAGAUUAGCAUGGAAUAAUAAGAUUGGCUUUCAUAGUCGAUUUUUUGGUUUGUUUAUGAAAGCAAGAUUAAUAGGGACAGUUGGGGGUAUUCAUAUUCAAUAGCUAGAGGUGAAAUUCUAUGAUUUAUGGAAGAUGAACAAGUGCGAAAGCA